GUUGCACGAAGGACUCAGGCAGGCCCCGAGGCACGCUCAGGCCGCGCCGAGGCCCUCGGCCCGGAUCCAGUCCCGGGUGCGGUC
rnacentral:tRNA from 1 species